ACAGUGCACAAGUGUCCCUUUUCUGACAUCCUCGCCGACGCCUGUUCUUUCUGCUCGGAGAGUUGCCAUCCUAACGGGCGAGGGGACCUCACUGCAGUUUGGAUUUUUACUUCUCCAGCCUGAGCGAUGCUGGGCGUCUUUUCUUCCUGCUGUGCCAUCGGAAAACGAACAGUGAGGCUGCUGGGGAAACCGGUGUGGCAAUUCCUCUAAAGUUAAAAAUAGAUCGACCGUGACAUCCAGCAACUUCACUUCCGGGAUCUCCCUGUGCAGUUCAGGCUGGACUUGAGCUCACUUCG